rnacentral:rRNA from 1 species
GAAGUAAAAGUCGUAACAAGGUUUCCGUAGGUGAACCUGCGGAAGGAUCAUUACCGUACAACAGAGGCACCCAGGGCUGUCGCUGGCCUUUACAGGUUGUGCACGCCCAAAGUGCUCUCUUACAUCCAUUUCACCCCAUUGUGAAUCACCGCGUGGGGCCCUCUAUCGAGUGCCUUGCGUUUUUACAACAAACAUUGCAUGUAUAGAAUGUUUUUGCAAUCAUAUGCAAUCAAAUAUAACUUUCAACAACGGAUCUCUUGGCUCUCGCAUCGAUGAAGAACGCAGCGAAAUGCGAUACGUAAUGUGAAUUGCAGAAUUCAGUGAAUCAUCGAAUCUUUGAACGCACCUUGCGCCCUUUGGUAUUCCGAAGGGCACACCCGUUUGAGUGUCGUGAACACCCUCAACCUUCUUGGUUUCUUUACCAGGAAGGCUUGGACUUUGGAGUAUUGCUGGCUUUUAUCAAAGUCAGCUCCUCCUAAAUAAAUUAGUGGGAUUUGCUUUGCUAAUCCUUGACGUGAUAAGUAUGCUUCUACGUCUUGGUUUUUGCAAAUGUCACCUGCUUCAAACUGUCUUUAAACAGACAAUGGUCGAGUUGACUCGACUUCACUGACCUUGACCUCAAAUCGGGUGAGACUACCCGCUGAACUUAAGCAUAUCAAUAAGCGGAGGAAAAGAAACUAACAAGGAUUCCCCUAGUAACUGCGAGUGAAGCGGGAAAAGCUCAAAUUUAAAAUCUGGUGGUCUUUGGCCAUCCGAGUUGUAAUUUAGAGAAGCGUCUUCCGCGCUGGACCGU